UUCCGGUUGAUCCUGCCGGAGGUCACUGCUAUUGGGAUUCGAUUAAGCCAUGCGAGUCGAGAGGGUUCGGCCCUCGGCUGACGGCUCAGUAACACGUGGAUAAUCUGCCCUUAGGUGGAGGAUAAUCUCGGGAAACUGAGGACAAUACUCCAUAGGUUUAGGAGGCUGGAAUGCAUCUAGACUGAAAGCUCCGGCGCCUAAGGAUGAGUCUGCGGACUAUCAGGUAGUAGUCAGGGUAAAGACCUGACUAGCCUACGACGGAUACGGGUUGUGAGAGCAAUAACCCGGAGACGAUAUCUGAGACACGAUAUCGGGCCCUACGGGGCGCAGCAGGCGCGAAAACUUCACACUGUGCGAAAGCACGAUGAGGGAAUCCCAAGUGCUUGCUCGUAAGAGUAAGCUGUUUUUCUGUCUAAAACGCAGAGAGAGUAAGAGCUGGGUAAGACGGGUGCCAGCCGCCGCGGUAAUACCUGCAGCUCAAGUGGUGGCCGCUAUUAUUGGGCCUAAAACGUCCGUAGCCGGUUUAGUAAAUGCCUGGGUAAAUCGUGUAGCUUAACUAUACGAAUUCCGGGUAGACUGCUAAACUUGAGACCGGGAGAAGCCAGAGGUACUCCUAGGGUAGAGGUGAAAUUCUGUAAUCCUAGGGGGACCACCAGUGGCGAAGGCGUCUAGCUAGAACGGGUCUGACGGUGAGGGACGAAACCCUGGGGCGCAAACCGGAUUAGAUACCCGGGUAGUCCAGGGCGUAAACGCUGCUUGCUUGAUGUUAGUUGGGCUCCGAGCCCAAUUAGUGUCGGAGAGAAGUUGUUAAGCAAGCUGCCUGGGAAGUACGGUCGCAAGGCUGAAACUUAAAGGAAUUGGCGGGGGAGCACAGCAACGGGUGGAGCGUGCGGUUUAAUUGGACUCAACGCCGGU
rnacentral:rRNA from 1 species